GAGAUACUUUAAAAACAUACCAUGUGUGGUGGGUUGACCCCAGCUGGACACCAGGUGCCCACCAAACCUGCACUAUCACUCCCCUCCACA